GUGGGUGUGUCACUGUGGAAGCUGGCUUUGCUAUCUCAUAGGCUCAAGUCACUCUGCCUGCUGCCAGCAGAUCAAGAUGUAGAACUCUCAGCUCCUUCUCCAGCACCGUGUCUGCCUACAAUCUGCCAUGUUUCCUGACAUGACAAUAGUGGACUAAACCUCUGAAACUGUAAGAACCCAUCCCGUAGUUUUCCAUGUUACCAUUUAUCCUCACUUGGAACACGGGCCUUAAGAGACGCUGCAUCUUCACCAGCAGCAGCAACUGGACAAAGGAACUAAGGCUGACAGAUAAUCAAAACUAGAAGCCAGAGGGUGGUGCCAGAGUCUUUUGUCCAGUGGAGAAAACCAACUAGUGCAACGUGUUAUGAUGCUCGGGGAUCUGUGAACUUGGCUUGAAGUCACCUCCAACCGACGGCCUGUUUUUAUAUGACCGCGAGCUACAGAUGGUUUUUACUUCAAUCCGAAGCAAUGUUUUUCUCCAGACUUUAGAAAUGCAGUUUUCUCAUCUGCAUACACUGGCCCACCACCAGCUUACCUUCCCUAUUUCAUCUUCAGGCAUAAAUGGAAAAAAAACUUGGAAAUAAUUUGUUUGAGCGAAACCCACAAGACAUUCUAACACUUCUAACUCUUGCACUCAACUGCUGCUGCAGACCCUUGCCUGGGUGCCAGUGACCUGGCAACAAGGAGAAAAUACACUACCCAAAGAAGGUCCUGUCCCAACAUCGACAGUAUCCAGAUGUUAAUGCACGGAAAGAGCCACAAUGAAAGACCAUUCAUAGACCCAGAGUCACGUGUCUCCGUGGAGGCUGCAGUCCACUCUCCCAAGGUGCACGUAAGCGAGACUCGGGACCUCUCAAAUGACAAAUCUCUUUUCAUGUGAAAUCACAACUCCUUUCCCUCCCUAGCCAAAGUUGGUUCAGAUCAUUGUCUCUUCCAGGGGACAGGAAGAGAAAAUAAUCUAUAAACGUCGAGACUCCACUCUGGGUGCCAAACCCUGCAAUUACAUUGUGCAGAGGGACUUCAUGAAUAAUUCCCGGGGUAUGAGCUGACAUUAAUCUGGAUAGUUAAUACAGAGCUGGGAAGUUGCCAGGAAAAAAAAAAAAAAAGAGCUGACUGAUUUCUUUCUAACAGAGCACUUUGGGUGAGGACACAGCCUCCUCUCUAAACUACACUUUCAUUCCACAUUGAUUUAACCAUCAUCUUUAUAUCUGUUUCCAUUGUAAGCUGAGGCCUAAGUACUGUCAGCAAAGCAUUGUGUUAGAACGAGAGCUCCGCCCAGGCAAAACAGCUCUAAAUAUUUACCGAUGGCUCACCCACACAUUUCAAGUGGCAUCAUCAUCAUGUCCAUCAGUGUCAUCAUUUAAACAGCCUGUGUGCAUCUCUGUGUGCCCUGUGAGUGCCUGGUGCCUACAGAGACCAGAAGAGGGCACUGAAUUCCCCUGGAACUGACAGUUAUAGGCCACUGUGUGAGUGCUGAGAAUCAAACCAAGGUCCUCUGGAAAAGCAACCAGUGCUCUUAAUUGAUGAGUCAGCCCUUAAAUGGCUUUGCUGUAAGAAAAUCCUAACCGAUCCCAGUGCCCCAGCUGUGUGUAUGCCACUGUUUCUAGGCAGAGUGUCAGCUAAAACCCUGUUUGUUUCAGAACAGAGUCAAUCUCUCUUUGUGUGUGUCUCUCUCCCUCUCUCUCCUCUCUCAUGGUACCAAGGCUGUCCUUGAACUCACUUUGUAGCCAAAGAUGACCUUUAAUUUCUGAUCCUGUCUCCACUUCCGUAGUCCCAGGAUUCUAGGUAGGCACCACUAGGCCCAGUGACAGUGGUUCUGCAGAUGGAGCCCAGGUUUAUGCAUGCUAGGCAAGCACUCUGUUGACUGAGCUACACCCCCACUGAAAAACAGGGUAUAUAAUCUCCAAAAAUCUUUGGUCAUUAUUGGUGGGUCAAUAUUGGAAUCUCUUCUUGAUGAAAACUGAUGUAUGGAUGCAUGGUGAAUACAUGUUCUUUUGUUAGUUAAAAUAGUUCAUUGGUUCAAGUGUGUACUUCCAGGAGGUGGACCUUAUGUUCAGCAUCCUUAGGAAAACUACCAAAAGAAAUUAAAACAAAAGGCAGCACGUUUUCUGCCUCAGGGAUCAGUUAGGGAAGAAGGCACAAACUAGAAAGAUGACUCCAUGGGUUAGAAGUGCUUGCUGCAAAAGCAUGAAGUGCUGGAUUUGGAUCCCACCAUCUCCAGAAAAAGUCAGAUGUGGCCACAAGCACCUGUGACCCCAGAGCUGUGAGGAGCAGCUACAGACUGAAGAGCCAGGGGCUGCCAGCCUAGCGCCAGGUUCAUGAGAGCUUCUGCCUCAAGGGAGUAAGUUAAAGUUACAGAAGGCCAUCCAAAGGCCUCUGUGUGUACACAUGUGUAAGUGUGCACAUACACCUACCAUACUUACAUAUGUGUAUUCUCUCUCAUACAGAGAAGGGGGAAGAAGAAGAGGAGGAGAAGGAGGGAAAGAGGAUGAAGAAGGAGGGUUCAAGAUGGGUGUCUGUAGAACUCUGAAAAGUGAAGGAUGUUAGGAUUUAUUUACAAGCUUUGUUGUUUUAAAUGUACAUUGUUUUUUUUCCCAUAAUGCUUAAGUACCUCACUACAGAUUUUAUAUUGCAUAUUUAGCAACAUAUGUGGUAAGAUACCAACAAAUCAUUGUACCCCAGCCUGAAAUCCACAACCAAUCCAGUUGUACCAAUGCAGGAUGGUGAAAGAUCAGCCUGCCCUGUGACCCUUGGAUAUGUUCUUGCGUUGUCUGCUCACUUGUCUGUGGACUCUUCUUCUUCUAGAACAUGAAUACACCUGGAUCGGGUAAAAACAAUGACUGAGUGUGACGAUGUCAGUGUGUGUUCAGUGGCUGGAAAUCCUCAGGUUGGCUUGGCCAGAGCCAAUAGCUCAUCUCAGAGAGCUAGAAAUGAAGUGAGGCAGAUGACAGGCAAGAGUGGGGGUAACCUUGAAUGGUGAAGAUGGGAAGAGCAGUCGGUUUUCUGUGAACUGUGGAGACCAUCAAGAAUAAACACUCAUGCAGUUAUCAUCAGUCCCCAAAAUGUCGCUACUUCCACAACCUUGAUGGAGUUCCCUUUAGUGCCACACAUGAGACCUGGGUGCGGUACCUGCAUUCAUCUGGACUCACAACAGCUCCGAGUACAUCCUAUUAUCCAAAGCCUAAGGGUCCCCAGGAACCUUUUCAAGGCCAUGUACUUACUAACCAUUACUCUACACGCAGGCACAAGCACUGGUCAAAAUAAUUUAUCUAACAAAAUUAUAUAACACUUUAACAAGGAAAAUUGCCUGUAAUUUCAGCACAAUGCCACUCAUAAUUUCUUCAUACUUUCUUUCAGGCUGUUACUCAUAUUUUAUAUAGCUGUACCACAACUAUUAAACAAAUUUGUGACACA